rnacentral:lncRNA from 1 species
AGGCUCUUUACUGAAGAGAAUGCAAGGGCUUCUGGGUAUAAUAAAGAGACUGAACUAAUAUAAAAUUCUGUUUGAAACACUUGAGUCAUUUGGAACCAAUAUAUGUUGUCAUUAUCCCAUUCUAGUCUAUCCUCAUUCCUGUCCACCCUCAAUUACUAUAAGUAAAUGAUACAGUGUUAGGAAAACUAGCCAUAGCAAUUUCUGUAGCAUAAAGUACUUAAUGUGGCUCCCCAUAAACUCUAUCCCUGAAAUGUGUAACUCAGCUUCCUUUAGUCUAUCUUUCAACUGACUGUAAUGUAGCAGUUGACAUAGCUACUCUGUAUUAAAAUGCAUGGUGGAGCAGGGCUUUACCAAUGGUUUGCAUUAUUCAAGGGUUGGAGGUUUGGAAGUAAUUUGCAUUCUUUAGAGAAUACUCAAUAAGAAUAUAUAUUUCUAAACUGAUUGUAAUGCAUCUAUGGGGAAUAACUGCUUGAAACUUAACACACACACGCAUACACCCUCACCCACACAAACAUACAUACACAAAGUUAAAAAGACGUAAAGGUCUUAAAGGAUGGAAAUAGCCCUCAGAGCAAAUGAGGCUGUUAUUCCCCAGGUUGGAGCACUGAAAGAAGCACUGAAGGUUUAGGCCUUAAAAGGCUAAUGGCACCAGCAAAUAUUUUAGAGUCUGACAGUUAUCAGGUACUAUUUUAGACUCUUGAGGAUUAAUGUCUACAAAAGGGAAUCAAAAUUCCUCCUCUCAGAGGACUUUCAUUCUAGUGGAUGGAAAUGACAUUCAACAAAUAAAUACAUAAUACAGAAUCUGCUAGGGAUAUGAAGAAGAAAUAAAGCAAGGCAAGAGUAGAGAGAGCAAUUGAACAUGUUUGAGUGCUAAUGCAGACAGGGUGGACAGGAAAGGCUACUGCAGUAAAGGGCUAUCAAAACAGAAAUCUGAUGAAAAUGAGAUUGUAAGCAAUGCAACUUUAAGGAGGAGAAACAUUCUAGGCAGCAAAGAGUGCAGUCUCUGAGGCAUAUAAGCAAGACUGGACUUCUCAAAGUAUAGCAAGAACAGCAGUGUGGACAGAAUGGAAUUCACAAGGGAGAGAACAGUUGAAGGUGAAAUUAGUGAGGUUAUAAUGAUAAAGAUUACAAAGCCAUGAUUAGGGUAUUAGAGUUUGUUCUAAGUAAGAUGAGAGAAGUCUUUGGAGAUAUAUUCAAGGAGAUGUGAUUCAAACGGAACUAUAUUUUUAAAAGGUUACACUGACUAGUUCACAAAGAGUAGAUUAUAGGACAACAGGAGUUGAAAAAAAGAAUACCAGAUAGAUGAAGAUCUGGGCAAAAUAUGAGGCUGACGUGGGUUGGAAUGUAGAGGUAGAACUGGCAAGAAAGGCCAGGCUUAGUAUAUAAAGGCUGAUCUUAUAUGAUGUGCUGAUGAAUUGGAGGUCGAUAAGGUCAGGUAAAUAAAAAGUAACACGUUUUCUUUCAUGGGCACUUGAGUAAAGGGUGGUAUUGUUUAUCGAAAUAGGAAAAUAAAGGAAAUGUAGAUCCAAAGAGCAGAGUUAAUCAAUAGUUCUGAUUAAUAGAUAUCACAGUAACAAUGUUGAGUAGGUAAUUGGGUAUAUACCUGAGGUUCAUGGGAGAUGGCAUAGGUGAAGACGUAGUUUUAGAAGUCAUCCAUUUGGAGUUGACACAUUUGUUAAGAUACAGUCUAAGCUGCUAUAACAACAAAAUCCAAAAAUAUAGUGAUUUAAAUAAGAUGGAAAUAUACUUCUCUGUCAUAUAAACAUCUAGCAGCAAGACACUACUCACCUUACUCUUGGAAUUAGUUGUACUUCUAACUAGGUGACUUGGUUUGAGUCACCAAUCCUAGGCCAAGCUAUUGCUUUUUUUUUUUUUUCAAGCUAUUGCUAUUUUAAAGAAGUAAAGUCUUUUCCUGAGUUGACCCAUAGAAUAUCUCUUUGUCCUCACAUUUAUAGUCAAUCCCAUCAUCUAAUUUAGUAUUCCACUGCCACAGUCCUCAGGUAUCCAGAUUAUGUGUCAGUGUGGUGCCAAGCACUUGCUGGAUUCUGACCACACAACAAUAAACAGAAGAGAUCUGGUCCCUGCUCUUAGAACAAAAUCUACAGAAUAGACAGAAGAAACAAGUAGUAACAUACAAAGUGAUGUGGGUAUACAGGGGAAGUAGAGUGUUCAGAAAAAGUAUCUAGAAGGAAAAUGCUAUUCAGCUCAACUCCCAGGUUUUAACUUGUGGAAACCUAUGACUAGAUUACAAAAUCCUUUGUUUUCUAACUUGACACAUUCCUAUACAUUUCAUAUCUGGCAUUUUCAACAAGCGCUAGUUCCCAUCAUUGAAUACCACCCCACCUGACUCAAGCAGGGGAAGGCAGAGAGAGGGGGAGAGAGAAAAUCCUAGGCAGGCUACGCACUGCCAGGGCAGAGACCUACAUGGGGACACAGGGCUCGAUCCCACGAACUUGACACCAUGACCUGAGCCAUAAUCAAGAGUCAGUCACUCAACCAACUGGGCCACCUAGAUGCCCCUUCAGUGACAAUUUUCAGCUGUUGUAGAUUAAAAGAAAAGAAUUAAAAAGAAAAAAGAAAAAAAAAAGAAUGGGGGGUGUUAGACUUCUUAGAACCCGUGAGUUCCUUGCUUCUUCUCAGAACAGACAAAAAUAUUUACCACAUUGUUUUGGAGGCUUGAGUAUUUGAGAAGGCAAGGGGUUAUAUUAUAAGGGGUCAACAAAUUAUUUGUAUACCACUACAAAGUUUUUGUAUACCAAGAGUACCUGUAUACCGUUUCUUUAUACAGAUAAUUGACCUCAACCAAAUAGAGGUGUCUUUUCCACAGGCCACACUGAUUGGUUGGAACCUCUGUAGUAUUGCUUACUAAGUAUUUUGAAUAUCACCCCCAACUUACAUGUAGUACUUACAAAAUUUAUAAGAAUGCAAUUAUAAUUAUCAGAUGCAAAAUCACGUAAAAGCAUUAAUAAAUUCACAAUAGCUAUUUUAUAGCAUGUGGUUGUUAAAAUAAAAGGAUGUUUAAAAGGGCAAAUAUUGAUUCUGCAGUUUACAUCCUUGCUUUCUACACUCUAGUGUUCCCGUGGCAGCUAAAGUGAUAUUGUAAAACUAAAUCUAGAUCAUGCAUUCUGUUCAGAAAAUCUAAUGGCUUCUCAUCUCAAUGGCCUACAAGAUCCUGUGUGAUCUGCUCUCACGCCUGCAUUCCUCAUCACCUUCCAUCCUUCCUUGUUCUCAUGAUUCCAAUUAUAGUAGGUAUGGUGCUAUUCCUCAAGCCAAGUAAGUUACAAUCUCGGGGUCUUUGGCAUAAUUCUACCCUAGGUUCUCUGCGGUCACUGUUCUCUCUCCCUGGAAUGAUUUAGCUAUCUUUCUUCCUUAUGUUCUUCUCAUCAUCUUCCCAGACACGUGAGUGGACACUGGAGUGCCACUCAGAUCCCUUUUACAGGCUGGUACAUCCAUCCUCAGCUGCUACUAAUGUUGACUCGAUGACAACUCACAGCUACCUCAACCUCUAUUUGGUUUCUGCAGGCCAUGCCUUACCACUUCUGCCAUAGGUCAAUUGACACAAGCUACAAAAGGCCAAAUCCUACCUCACAGUGGGACGACUUCUGCAGUGCAAUUUACACUCCAGAGCUUCCUGUGGUUUACCUGAAAGUUUCCAGCUGAGACCACAUUCUUGCUGAGCUUUUUGCCCAGCCUUUCCCUUCCGAGAACACCACCCUGUCCCUCAAAUAAACCUUUUGAAAAAAGUUCUAGAGGUACCUAAGACAGAUGUCUUCCCUAAUCAGCAUACAACGAGGCACUUGCUAUCUCCCUUAUCUUGCUUUACUUUUUUACAUAGCAGCUAUAGCCAUAUUGAAUAAUAUAUUUUUGUAAUUCCUUUUGUUGUUGUUCAUUAACUUUUUCUUCCAGUGGCAUGUAAACUCCAUGAGGACAGGGGCUUUUUUUAUUCACUACUAUAUUACCAAGCCUACAAAACUAUCUAGUUCAUUACAGAUAAUAAACAUGCAUUGUUAAAUGUAUGGAUAAAUGGAAUAGAACAGUGAGUUUAUUUUAUUUUAUUUUUUAAGUUCAUUUGUUUAUUUUUGGGAGAGAGAGAGAGAGAGACAGCAUGAGCAGGAGAGAGGCAGAGAGAGUGGGAAACAGGGAAUCUCAAGCAGGCUCUGCACUGUCAGCACAGAGCCCAACAUGGGGCUGAUCCCACGAACCCAGGAGAUCAUGACCUGGGCUGAAAUCAAGAGUUGGACGCUUAACCAACUGACUCACCCAUGUGCCCUGAAUUUAUUUUAUUAUUUUAAAAAGGACGUCCUAUUCUUGAAAACAUUGAGGAACAACAGUCUGGAUUAGUUUUAUCUGCAAUAAAGAAAGAUUCUGUUAGGGACUGUGUGCUCUAUGUCCCUUCAAACUAGGUCAACACUGGAAUACUGAUCAUUGAUAUAAUAUGUUCUUAUGAGCUAAGAGUUAGUUCAUUAACACACUCUUCCCAAGGCUUGAAAUCUUGAAACUCAAAGUUUUUAACCCUGUUAUAUUCUGACAGUAAUUAAAAUUCCCCUCCAAAUUUCUUAAUUAGCCUUUGUUUCUUAAAUAAGAAUUUAUUUUUCUGUUAAUCAAUAUUUUGAACUGAGAUCUUCAAAGCCCAUAUUGAAAAUGAAAAUGUAUAUAUUUAAACAAUAAAAAUCAUUAAAUAAGGAAAAAUACAUUGUAACUAUACAACAGCCAAUGUAAGCAAGCCUCAUAUUCAGUCAGAGACAGUCCCUAGAAUUCUAGAGGAGUUUCUUUAAAAUUGAUUUUAAAAUAAGGCAAUAGCUGUUUUACUACACAGACCCUAUUGUCUGUAAAGCCAGCAAAGGACUACAGCUUACAUCUGAGUUCCUUCAUUAAGGAAACACUGCAGCUGGAUAUGACAUAUCAAAAAUAUUCAAAUAUCAAACUAUGGAGAUUCUGGCUGACUUUCUGCCCCUUCAGUUCAUAAGCUUUCUAAUAGAACUCAACCUUGAUGAGUGUUUGCAGAAAAUUGUCUGCAUUGUCAACUAUAUUCCACAAAAAUGACUUGAAUAAUUUGACUUUUACAGAUUUUAAUAGUCAGAAAGGAUCUGAGAUUGCAUUCUAACUCCACAGAAGUCUUUUCCUUAAGCAAUAAAUAAAGUUUGAUUUAAUUUUUUCAUAAAGAGGUUUCUGUGGUCAUGAAAGCCUGCUGUCUAUGCCAUUCAAAAUGAAGAAAUAUUCCAGGUGGAGAAUCUCAAACAUAUUCCAAUAAAGACCUUGUAAAGAUCUUUCAUUCUAAUUUGGGAGUACAUAAUGAAUACACUUCUUUGCAACUAGCAUUUAAUAUCAGUGCUUUUAUGGUUUAUGAUGUAACAUUUGUUUCUUUUUAUUCAACAGAAAAGGUCAAUGUGACUAAUAAUUACAACUACAACUCUGAGAGAAGAAGACUGUAAUUAGACU